GCCAACCCCCAGACGCGUAACCAGAGUUUCUCCAAGCUAAGAACACGCACACAAUCUUCAGGAGGGACUCCGGAAGCAGAGAGCAUUGAGAAACGCAAGCUUUCCCAGAAGCGAAGGACACUGCCCUUGGGCAGAAAUCUUCACUAGAAGCUAAAAACCCCUGGAAAGAAGCAGCCAUUUCCACAGUGUAUGGAGUUUUCAUUGGCCUGCUCAAAUCAAACCCUUGCAGUUAUCCAUGUGUGGCCACCUGUCACCAUGGCCUACAUACACCAGUGGCCAGACGAUUCUACAUAAACGAAAGCCCUGUUCAGAUGACAGCCGGAAUCGAGCCAACCUUAUAGGGAGAUCUUUGAGUUCUUCAUAGAGGAUUUCAAGACAUACAAGCCAUUGUUAUCCUCCAUCAAGAAUGCGUAUGAGGUGAUGCUGGCCCACCAAAGAGAGAAAAUCCGGUCCCUAGAGCCCCUGAAGGCCAAGAUUGUCACUGUGAACGAGGACUGCAGUGAGAGAGUUCUGGCCAUGAGGGCUGAGGAGAGGCAUGAAAUCUCUGUGCUCAAGAAAGAGAAGAUGAAUUUGCUAAAACUCAUUGAUAAAAAGAAUGAAGAGAAGAUCUCACUGCAGUGUGAGGUGGCUAAACUGAGGAAGAGCCUGGCUGAGGAGUACUUGCGUUACCUUACCGAACGAGAUGCC
rnacentral:lncRNA from 1 species